GACAGACAGACGGACGAUAGAUAGAUAGAUAGAUAGAUAGAUAGAUAGAUAGAUAGAUAAAUAAAUAGAUAGAUAGAAAGACAGACGAUAUAUAGAUAGAUAGAUGGAUAGACAUAGACACACAGUAAAAAUAGCUGGGUUAUUUUUUUAACCCAAUAGAUGGGUUACACAUAUUGGGUCACUGUGUUGGGUUAUUUUCUAAAACGUUGGGUUAUUUUUUAAACAUCGUUGGGUUGUUUUUAAUAAUAACCCAGCGUUGGGUUUAAUUGGUUCCCGCGGCGACAGUUCAAAUUUUAACGGACGACGGUGACUGACAACAGAAGAAGCUGCUGCUGCAUCAGUAUGAGAUCAGUGGUUUAUACUUAUUUUUAGACAUUGGGUUCUUCAGUGAAGGGAAAACUACAACAGUGGAAUCUCAUACAUUAAACAUACACAUGCCAAUUAACUGAAAUAUUUCAAGAGGAAGGAGUCAAUGAAGGAAGUUUUAUGCGACCGGAUGACACCAGCAUUGCUGCACUAACUCCAAGAACUCCUCCCAAGUUUUUAGCAUUUUCAACGGUGAAGCAGUGGAACAGAAGACCUUACUACAAGCAGUGGAUCUGUGUUUCAAACAUUUCUACAUGUAUGACAUCAACUACCCAAAGCUCCUCUGCACCCAUUUGCAGCACACUGUCUUUAAUAUUCCAGGAGUUCUUUCAACACAUUACCUCUUCCUUAGAAACUUUGUAUUUAUUGAUCUGUAAAACUUUUUAUGUUGCUGAUUAUCAGCAAGUCCAGCAGCCAGCAGAUUUACUUUGUUUUAUUAUUAUUAUUAUUACUUGUGUUUAUGAUUUUUUAUUUUUGUUUUAUUGAUAAAGGUUUGUAUGUUAUGUUUGUUUUAUUUGUGCACAUUUGUGUAUGUGUUGAUAUAAAUAAAUAUGAAUUGAUACACAUUUAUGACCCUGGACAACAAAACCGGUCAUAAGUAUCAUGGGUACAUUUGUAGAAAUAGCCAAAAUUGCAUUGUAUGGGUCAAAAUGAUCAAAUUUUCUUUCAUGC